GAUGAACGCUGGCGGCGUGCCUAAUACAUGCAAGUCGAGCGAACGGACGAGAAGCUUGCUUCUCUGAUGUUAGCGGCGGACAGGUGAGUAACACGUGGAUAACCUAUCUAUAAGACUGGGAUAACUUCGGGAAACCGUAGCUAAUACCGGAUAAUAUUUUGAACCGCAUGGUUCAAAAGUGAAAGACGGUCUUGCUGUCACUUAUAGAUGGAUCCGCGCUGCAUUAGCUAGUUGGUAAGGUAACGGCUUACCAAGGCAACGAUGCAUAGCCGACCUGAGAGGGUGAUCGGCCACACUGGAACUGAGACACGGUCCAGACUCCUACGGGAGGCAGCAGUAGGGAAUCUUCCGCAAUGGGCGAAAGCCUGACGGAGCAACGCCGCGUGAGUGAUGAAGGUCUUCGGAUCGUAAAACUCUGUUAUUAGGGAAGAACAUAUGUGUAAGUAACUGUGCACAUCUUGACGGUACCUAAUCAGAAAGCCACGGCUAGCUACGUG
rnacentral:rRNA from 1 species